rnacentral:rRNA from 1 species
UACGAAGGGGGCUAGCGUUGUUCGGAUUUACUGGGCGUAAAGCGCACGUAGGCGGAUUGUUAAGUCAGGGGUGAAAUCCCGGAGCUCAACUCCGGAACUGCCUUUGAUACUGGCAAUCUUGAGGCUGGAAGAGGUUAGUGGAAUUCCCAGUGUAGAGGUGAAAUUCGUAGAUAUCGAGAGGAACACCGGUGGCGAAGGCGGCCAACUGGACAGAUACUGACGCUGAGACACGAAAGCGUGGGGAGCAAACAGG